rnacentral:lncRNA from 1 species
CUGUAUAUGUUAGCAUAUAUAUAAAUAUAUAUAUAUAUAUCUAUACAAUUAUAUUCUAUGUGCAGCGCGUAUCCCUAACCCUAAACUUUCUUAUUCUAUGUGCAGAUUCUAAAUCUAAAUCUAAAUCUAAAUCUAAAUCUAAGAGGCGCAGAUACGAGUUAUGGCGGAGAUGCUUCGACUACUAAAGAAGCCGAUGAUGACGACGUGGAGAACCGAUCUUCCUUUAAGGUUCGGCAUCAUGCUCUUUAACCAGUUCAAUUAUUUUUUUCUAGAUCCGUUUUGCGCUAGCAUAAUUUAGGGAUUUUGUCGUAGCCAGUAGAUAUGGUAAUUAAAGAACUAAAGAAUUUCUCUUUGAUUUGAAGGGUUAGUGAAACAAAAAGGGUAACUGUACUGAGUCCCUCCUCUGUGUUGCUAUUUAUUUUGAUUUGUGCUAUCAUAAUUUAGGGGUUUGGUUAUAGUAAGGUUAAUUUUUCUUUGGAUAUAGUAACUAAAGAGCAGAAGAAUUUCUCUUUGAUUUGAAGGGUUAGUUAAACAAAAAAGGUAAUUGUACUAAAUCCCUGUGUUGCUAUAUUUAUUUAUGGACAGGCUCGUAUUAUUAGGUCGAUGUUCAUGGCAUUUCAUAAUUUUGUAUACGGAUGGAGAACAAAGGUUGAGGGGUUUUUGCAAAUGAUGGGUCGUGCUUCAACAAGAUAAUUCUAGAAGAUACCCACUGUACAUGUAAGUUUGAUCUUUUAGUAUUUGAGGAAAUGUUGAUCUUUUUAAUUUAUUAUUCGUCUUAUAGAUUGAGCUAUAGUAUCUUCUUAUUGUCUUAUAGUCUGUUUGUCCAUAAAUUAACUCAUUUCCUUCAUCAGAGUAAAAUCAGCAGGGUUUCUAGUUUCUGUUGGCAGUGCACGCUUCAUCACUAGUAUGAGCAUCCACAACAUUACACCUUAAGUGACUCCACACCUAUUGCAAAACGAAGGGCUUGAUAUUCAAUACUGGGGGAUCCACUACAUCACACCUUAAGUGGAUGCCAGAUGACUGAUCAUUCAUCAUUCUCUUGCCCUUGGAAGAGAAGUUACGCAAGUGACCCUGAUGCCAUGGCAGCACCGUGGAUUAAGGGAGCAGAAGCCAGAUGUCCUAACAGAUGUCAUAACAGCGCAGAGUUUUGGAAUGCCUGAUUCCUAGAUUUGCAAAAUAUAACCUUCUUUCCCUCGCUCUAUAGUUGUUAAUACCAUUCCAUGGAGGGUACCCUAAUACCCUUUCGGAUUUAUCAGACACUAAAAAUGAUAAUUUUAUGUGUAAUUGUUGAAUACUUGUAUGAAAGCACAUAAUUUAUCUUUCUAAGUACCCCCAUCAUGAUCCUCUUUCUAACUCAAUGAUUUGAGUGCUGCUGAACGUUUAAUAACGUAGUAAUUUAAUAAUGUAGUUGUCUUAAGAAACUUUAGCUAUACAAAUUUACCUUUACGGAAUUUGUAGUAGUAUAUUCACAUUUCACUUGUAAGUGGUGCAUCUAUACAAGUUUACCCUCCCUGAACUUGCUUUGGUUCAAAAUCAUAAAGUUAAGGUGAGUUAUUUUUUAAUUAUUUAAGUUGCUAAUUCUAUUUAAUUUAUUAGUUGUCUAUUACUAGUGGAUUAUUAUAUAUCAUUUUGACAUUGAUGAUGGUGGACUAAUGAAAUUAUAAAUUGAAUAUUUGUUAGUUGGUAAGUAAUUAGUAGAUUCUUUAUUUGAUUGUGCAAUAAUUUAAAUUUGGUAUACUCUUUUUAUGAAUUAGUAUGAGCUUAAUAUGGUUGUAUGACCAAAUAUUUUUCAGUAUCUUUUAAGCUCGCCUUUGUUAUAAUUCCUAGCAUUUCUACCGCUAGCUCGAGGGAGUAAACCAAGGACUGCAUGUGAAGUAGGCAUAAAUGAUUGGGAACUAAAGAAAUUAUACCUGCAUUCAAUAGAGUGGUUUUCAAAACUUCAUUACUUGAGAAGUUUUUGUUUAGGAACUUUGGUCUUAAUAAAUUCAAUUAUAAUUAACUAAUUUUGUAAAAGGAUUUCUUUUAAUUUUGUUAUUAGUACCUUGCAAGUAGGGGUUAAUUUAUAUAAUGUUUGAAAGUGAUAUCUACUCAUUGAACUUGUAGCAAUGGUGAACUUGUAUUACAUAUGAGAAGGAUUGGCACAUACUAACUUGCAUUUUUUGAAUAUGUAGGAAAUCAUGUCCAACCAGGUAGAUAUGGGAGAAUUUAGCUUUCUAUCCCUGUUGUUAGAUGGUGAUGAACAUAUGUACCAUGAACAACUGCUUGCCACUCACUAGCCUCAACACCUGCAGGCAGCACUAGGACAGUUCAGAAAUGCAAAUUCUGUGGACAUGAUUGUAGCGCUGGGGCAAUUCAUGUGUUUCAAUUCUUGACCCAUGAUUGGGCAUUCGUAAGUAUUGCAGGCACAACUGCAGAACCAGCAGGUAUCCAAUGGUUUCAAACUCUGGGAGCACGCAACUACAGGCUUGGAGUUUUGAAAAUAAAUAUGGCUUGCCUGCAUAUUUUUUUCCCGCACACCUAUUCACUAAUUACAAAUGGGAACUUGGAGACUACACGCCCACUGCAAAAUUAAGGGCUUGACAUUCAGCACUGGGGGAAUCCAACAUCCACAACAUCACACCUUAAGUGGAAGCCAGUUGACGAUCAUUCUCUUGGCCUUGGCCUUGGAACAAAUGUUAUAUUAGUUCUAACAUACAAUGUUUAAAACGUAUACUCUAAUUAGUUAGUGCUUGAAGGUUUCUUAUGUGCAUCUUUCUCUCUAUAUAAAUGUAAUAUGCAUUAUAUUAAUUCAAAUAUGUAUUGUAUUAUACUAAGGAUAUAUUUGUUUGCAAGAAUUAUAAUCCCAUGGUAUAAUUCUAGACUAUUAAUUUUAGGAUUAAAUAGUCUUAGUAACGUGUUUGUUUAUGGGAUAAGUUAAAAUAAU